UCAAGGCAACCUUGGAGUGUCGAGUAUUUGUGAUUGGUCGUUUACCGACAAUCACAUAAAUCGAAAAACACUCAUCACAAAAGUUGUGUAGCACCAAAGCACAACCUUCGGGGGGAGUAUCACAAGCUCUCCUGGCGCUUCUGUCGCUUCGGCCAGAAGUCGUCGAAACUCAGGGGGGAGUAUCACAAGCUCUCCCGGCACUUCUGUCGCUUCGGCCAGAGGUCGUCGAAACUCAGGGGGAGUAUCACAAGCUCUCCCGGCACUUCUGUCGCUUCGGCCAGAGGUCGUCGAAACUCAGGGGGGAGUAUCACAAGCUCUCCCGACACUUCUGUCUAUAGGAUGGAAGUCGCCACAUUUCAAGGGAGAGUAUCACAAGUUCUCCCGACACUUCUGUCCAUGGGAUGGAAGUCGUCACAUUUCGAGGGAGAGUAUCACAAGUUCUCCCGACACUUCUGUCCAUGGGAUGGAAGUCGUCACAUUUCGAGGGGGAGUAUCACAAGCUCUCCGACACUUCUGUCCAUGGGAUGGAAGUCGUCCCAUUUCGAGGGGGAGUAUNN
rnacentral:lncRNA from 1 species